UAGGGAAUCUUCGGCAAUGGACGGAAGUCUGACCGAGCAACGCCGCGUGAGUGAAGAAGGUUUUCGGAUCGUAAAGCUCUGUUGUUAGAGAAGAACGUUGGUAGGAGUGGAAAAUCUACCAAGUGACGGUAACUAACCAGAAAGGGACGGCUAACUACGUGCCAGCAGCCGCGGUAAUACGUAGGUCCCGAGCGUUGUCCGGAUUUAUUGGGCGUAAAGCGAGCGCAGGCGGUUCUUUAAGUCUGAAGUUAAAGGCAGUGGCUUAACCAUUGUACUCUUUGGAAACUGGAGGACUUGAGUGCAGAAGGGGAGAGUGGAAUUCCAUGUGUAGCGGUAAAGUGCGUAGAUAUAUGGAGGAACACCGGUGGCGAAAGCUGCUCUCUGGUCUGUAACUGACGCUGAGGCUCGAAAGCGUGGGGAGCAAACAGG
rnacentral:rRNA from 1 species